GGGGGAUAUUGCGCAAUGGGGGAAACCCUGACGCAGCAACGCCGCGUGAAGGAAGAAGGUCUUCGGAUUGUAAACUUCUUUUGUCAGGGACGAGGAAAGUGACGGUACCUGACGAAUAAGCUCCGGCUAACUACGUGCCAGCAGCCGCGGUAAUACGUAGGGAGCGAGCGUUGUCCGGAUUUACUGGGUGUAAAGGGUGCGUAGGCGGCCGAGCAAGUCAGUUGUGAAAACUAUGGGCUUAACCCAUAACGUGCAAUUGAAACUGUCCGGCUUGAGUGAAGUAGAGGUAGGCGGAAUUCCCGGUGUAGCGGUGAAAUGCGUAGAGAUCGGGAGGAGCACCAGUGGCGAAGGCGGCCUACUGGGCUUUAACUGACGCUGAGGCACGAAAGCAUGGGUAGCAAAC
rnacentral:rRNA from 1 species